GACAGAGGGUGCAAACGUUGUUCGGAUUUACUGGGCGUAAAGCGAGUGUAGGCGGUCUGUAAAGUCGGGUGUGAAAGCCCCGGGCUCAACCCGGGAAGUGCACUCGAAACUCACAGGCUAGAGUAUCGGAGAGGUUGGUGGAAUUCUCGGUGUAGAGGUGAAAUUCGUAGAUAUCGAGAGGAACACCGGUGGCGAAGGCGGCCAACUGGACGAAUACUGACGCUGAGACUCGAAAGCGUGGGGAGCAAACAGG
rnacentral:rRNA from 1 species